rnacentral:pre_miRNA from 1 species
GUUGGCGACGCGUAUUCUUAGGGAAUUAACACACAUUUGCGCUGUUAUUGCUUGAGAAUACACGUAGUUUGU